rnacentral:rRNA from 1 species
UCCGCAGGCGGUCUAAUUAGUCGGGCGUUAAAGGCUGGGGCUUAACUCCAGCAUCGCGUUCGAAACGGUUAGACUAGAGGCCGGGAGAGGCAGAUGGAACUGCUGGUGUAGUAGUAAAAUGCGUUAAUAUCAGCAGGAACACCCAAGGCGAAGGCAUUCUGCUAGAACGGUUCUGACGCUCAGGGACGAAAGCGUAGGGAGCGAAUCGGAUUAGAUACCCGAGUAGUCUACGCCCUAAACGAUGGAUACUGGACAUUGGAAGUAUCGACCCUUCCAGUGUCGUCUACCUAAGUUAACACCUUAAGUAUCCCGCCUGGGAAGUACGGCCGCAAGGCUAAA